ensembl:misc_RNA Y_RNA Y RNA
GGCUAAUCUGAAGGUAGUGAGUUAACUCACUUGCUCCCAGUUACAGAACCAACUCCUUGUUCUAUCCUUUCCCCUCUUCUCACUACUGUGCUUGACUAGUCUUAA